GGUGCUGUGGUUUAGUUGGUUAAAGCACCUGUCUAGUAACCAGAAGGUUGGUUCAAUUCCCAGUGGUGCCU